rnacentral:tRNA from 1 species
CAAAGUAUAGCUAAAAAAGUUUAGUAUUUCAUUUACAUUGAAGUGAAUUACCGUGCAAGUCGGUUUGCUUUGA